rnacentral:rRNA from 1 species
GUAGUAGCAAAUACUCUAGCGAGAACCUGGAGGACCGAAGUGGAGAAGGGUUUCGUGUGAACAGCUAUUGCACACGAGUCAGUCGAUCCUAACCCCUAGGAGAGAUCCCAUGAAUCGGGGCUUUCAGCCUGCCUGGGGGAAAGGGAAUCCGGUCCCCAUUCCGGAACCCGGUUGCGGAACCGUAUCUAAGCGGACUCCGCGUUUACGGACGCGGAGUUCGACGGGGUAACCCAAAUUGACCCGGAGAAGCCGUCGGGAGGUCGGGGAAGAGUUUUCUUUUCUGUUUGAGCGCUCGGGUUCCCUGGAAUUCUCUAGCAGAGAGAGAGGGAAUGGAGCGCGUAGAGCACCGCAGUUGCGGCGGUGUCCCGACAUGCCCCUCGGACCUUGAAAAUCCGGGUGAAGGAUACGUGGACCAGUCGCACCGGAUCGUACCCAUAUCCGCAGCAGGUCUCCAAGGUUAAAAGCCUCUGGUCGAUAGACGAAUGUGGAUAAGGGAAGUCGGCAAAUUGGAUCCGUAACUUCGGAACAAGGAU